GGGGAAUAUUGCACAAUGGGGGGAAACCCUGAUGCAGCGACGCCGCGUGGAGGAAGAAGGUCUUCGGAUUGUAAACUCCUGUUGUUGAGGAAGAUAAUGACGGUACUCAACAAGGAAGUGACGGCUAACUACGUGCCAGCAGCCGCGGUAAAACGUAGGUCACAAGCGUUGUCCGGAAUUACUGGGUGUAAAGGGAGCGCAGGCGGGAAGACAAGUUGGAAGUGAAAUCCAUGGGCUCAACCCAUGAACUGCUUUCAAAACUGUUUUUCUUGAGUAGUGCAGAGGUAGGCGGAAUUCCCGGUGUAGCGGUGAAAUGCGUAGAUAUCAGGAGGAACAUCGGUGGCGAAGGCGGCUUGCUGGGCUUUUACUGA
rnacentral:rRNA from 1 species